rnacentral:lncRNA from 1 species
GCACAAUGUGAGUCACCAGCAAGGAGGGACACCAAUAAGACGUCCGAUAAGAAAGAGAUUGGAAAUAACUGUUUCUUGAAGUUCCUAAUGGAGAGAAGGCAUUCUCCCCCAGACCCAAACUCAGCUAAUCAUGGGUAAACCUCUCUAUAUUCAACAAAUUCUAUGAAAUGAAUGGAAAGCAUUUCUCAAUAUUUGCACUAUCAUGAAAAAUAGGAGAAAAUAUCACUGUCCAAAGUAGGUUGAGGAUGCAUUACAAUUAAAUGUGAUGUACUGUUCCAACUCCACAGAACUGGAGGUUCAAGAGGCAAGGAAG